AUACGUAGGGGGCAAGCGUUAUCCGGAAUCACUGGGCGUAAAGGGUGCGUAGGCGGCCGAUAAAGUCUGGGGUGAAAGGCUACGGCUCAACCGUAGUAAGCCUUGGAAAAUUAUUGGCUUGAGUGCAGGAGAGGAGAGUGGAAUUCCUAGUGUAGCGGUGAAAUGCGUAGAUAUUAGGAGGAACACCAGUGGCGAAGGCGACUCUCUGGACUGUAACUGACGCUGAGGCACGAAAGCGUGGGGAGCGAACAGGAUUAGAUACCCUGGUAGUCCACGCCAUAAACGAUGAGUGCUAGGUGUCGGAGUCGACAGGCUUCGGUGCCGCAGCUAACGCAUUAAGCACUCCGCCUGGGGAGUACGGUCGCAAGACUGAA
rnacentral:rRNA from 1 species